AGGCAUAAAAUUUGACCACUUUCUCCAGCCUCCUUUGGAGUUGCUUGAAACCACAUGACUGAGUUCUGGCGAAGGGAAUGUGAGCAGAAGUGAUGUAAGGCACUGCUAGCCGCUCACCCCUUGAGAGAUUCCUUGGCAGAUUCUCACGCAGGAGAGAACACCAAUGAAGACAAGUCUGCGUCAUGGCGACCUCCACAAAAACAGUGGCUCUCUGACUCAGGCUUGAAAUAUUUGCUGUCAAUGGUGCAUAGAAAAGACAUUCGUGGCCCACGGCUUAGGAAUCCUUAGGCCGCAACGCCCAGCAUCUGAACGAAACUCUGGUUCAAGAGUCUCACCCUUUGCCUCUCCCAUUGCCAAAGUUGCAAGGAUUUAGGAGCCAAUUGCUUGCCGACAGGAGAGGCAAAAUCUGAACCUUCAAAACCAGAGCUGAACUUAAGAGAAGGGCCUUUGUCUUUGCUGACAGUGGAAGAGAUUGAUCAUGAAAAGGUCCUUGUGUACCUUAGGUGUUUGGUUAACAAGACGUUAAAGCCUCUGGGACACACGACAAGGAGACUCACCCGCCUACAGACUUUCAUGCCACCGCAUAGCCAAUACUGAACGGAAGAAGGCAGGUCAAUGCAUAGAGUCCACGGAAGAUAAAGACUCCCAGUUCACGUCUCCACCGCAGUGAAGUCCCUUGUGCUAGAGCAUGCUGCAGGCGAGCCUUGCGGGAGAGAAGAUUGGAAUGCUUGUCCAGGGCACUGUCUGGGUGUUCUCAGCAUUACCUUCUGUCUGUUUGUUCUUUACUGUUUGUUUUUAUAUCCCCAGCCCUCCUCCUUCUUAACCUGGCUCAAAUUCAGUUCUGAACUGGAGCCUCAAAGGGCUAAAGGCAGCCUUCCUCUCUGAAACCCUCCUGAAGGCAUCCUAGGACUCUGCCAGGGAGAGACAGGAGGCACUGUGAUGGGGACAGUUACUGCCACCUUCCUCCCUCCUCAGUCCUCCUCCUGCCAAGCCCUGACAGCUCUGGAAGCCGAGAACUUUCCUUUGACUCUCGCACAGGUCUCCACGCUGUGUGCUGCUGCCAAGCCACGGGGCCGGCUCUUGGAAUGUGUU